ACUCAGGGCCUGAGGGGGGGAGUCCAGGACCCACACACCUCUCUCUCCUGCUCAGUUGCCACGUGGCCAAGUGGGGGCUGGACUCAGACACUGUACUUGACCUCAGCGUCAUCCCUGAGUAGUGUUGAAUCCUUUGGGACUCAGUGUCCCCAUCUGUGAGCCUGUGAUUGUGCUUGCCCUCCUCUCAGGGGGCGGGUGCGGGUGGGAAGGUCAGCUGAGAGGGAGGAUGUGUGUUCAUUGAUGCGGAGCACGUGCACUGAGGCGGCCCCAUGUGCCAUCUUAGCUGGGGGGACACAGCCUGUCUGCUGGGGCCCCAACCCCAGACUCAUCCUGCAGUCAUCCAGAGGAGGGCUCAGUCCUGAGCCAGAGACUCAGUAGGGAGAGGCCUGGGGUCGGUUCAGUGACCCAGCGCCUGCCCAGGUGACGUGGUCCCUUGGUACGAGGGCAGUGUUUUAGAUGGCACUCCUGGCUGACCAGCCUCUCUGAGCUCCACACCCAGGCCUGGCAGCAUAUUCGGACUGCACGCAGGCGCCCACACUAGCCCGCCCUAAGCACCCUUGGAGAGACCUAGCAGCCACCGAGCCCUAGGUCUAGUCCUUAGACCAUCGGAUGCCCAGGUGAGGUGCAUGUGAACCAGAAGAGGCGUGAACAGGUCAGAUGCACAGGUGGCCGGGGCAUUGCUGGCGUGCCGGUGGCUGCAGGACAUCAGGCCUGGGCUCAGUGCUGUUGAAACUGGGAGGUAAAUAAGGUAGGAGGUAGGUAUGGAUGCCGGGAGCCCCAAAGCCACCCCGGCUGGCAGGCCUGUCACACAGCCUCAUACCCUUGCCUGCAUGUUACAGCAGCUGCAAGUCUAGCAGUCGUGGGUCCUUGCGGCUGAAUCCCGUGCUGGGCUCUGAGACAGGACCAGUGUGAGGCUGGGGAAAAGCCCCUACGGCUCGAGCAGGUGGCAGGCACGAGACCGCCAGCAGCCCCAGGCGUCCUCCCGAGUUGCCCACAUCAGAGCGGCCAGCAGCCAGAAUCGGGGUGGUGCGUCUCUGUGACUCCUGAACUCCCCCAUCUCCUGACCCUGGCUCCCCAGCCUCAGUCUCCCUGUAAUAAAUGUCUUUCUGCCUAAAA